rnacentral:tRNA from 1 species
GGAGGUGUAGCUCAGUGGUAAACCAGUUGCCUACCAUGCAUGAGGACCUGGGUUUGAUUCUCAGUGCCACCA